rnacentral:rRNA from 1 species
GACAGAGGGUGCGAACGUUGCUCGGAAUUACUGGGCGUAAAGCGCACGUAGGCGGCUUGGUAUGUCGGGUGUGAAAUCCCCGGGCUCAACCUGGGAACUGCAUCCGAAACUGCCUUGCUAGAGUAUGGGAGAGGGAAGUGGAAUUUCCGGUGUAGCGGUGAAAUGCGUAGAUAUCGGAAGGAACAUCAGUGGCGAAGGCGACUUCCUGGACCAAUACUGACGCUCAGGUGCGAAAGCGUGGGGAGCAAACAGG